AUAAUUACUCUUAAUAUUGAUCGUUGGAUAUUGUGAAGUUAUAUAUUUCAAACUAGAAUUACAAAUAUUCCUGAAAUUCCUCUAAUGUUAAAGGAAGGAGUCAGCUCUGGAGUACUUGGUGUACUGGGUCUGGUUGGGAUAUUAACUUUCCCUGCAGCAGCCCACACAGUGCUGUGCUCUGCACUUGGAGCAAGAAUAGCGCUGGUAUCACACCGGUGCUGUGCCUGCUGCUGAGCAGUGCUGGCACCGCAUCAGGACUCCCUACAAACCCCCAGAGCCAGCAGGCUGGGGGUGGGCAAGAGGUAGGGAGGAGACAUCACCAGGGCAGCUGACCUAACCCAACCAAAGGGAUAUUCCAUGCCCUGUGGUGUCACACUCAGAAAUAAAAGAUGGAAAAAGGAAGAAGAAGGGAGGGGUGGGCUCUCGUGAAAAUGUCUGUCCUCCCAAACAAGAGCUACAUGUGUUGAGGCCUUGCUUCAAGGAUGUGGUCAAGCAUUGCUUGUUGGUGGGAUGUAGAGAGUAAUUUCUUUCUUCUGCACUUCCACACAGCUAAAUUUGUUUUCCCUUUUCCCCUUUCCCUUUUCCCCCUGUAUUUAAAUUGUGUAAUUAAUAAUAAAUUCUCCUUCAUAACUAUUUUUUCCUUUAAUUAAAUUAUCCUUAUCUCAACCCAUGAGUUGUUUCUUUCCUUUUCUUCUUCCCUUCCCCUCCUCUUCUGAGGAGGGGGACUGAGAAAGUGGUUGUGGUGGAGUUCAGCUGCCUAGCAAGGUAAAACCACCCCACUGGGGAAUGGGGCUGCGGCUUUCCCCUUGCAGGUUCAAGCAGUAGCAAAGCUGAGCACGUGUCCCCGAGAUGCACAGGACACACUCAGGCAGAGACAGGCCCCUAAGGUGACCAGCUUGUUGGGUUUGUGCUUUGCACGUUGCAGUGGCCAGUGCUGGGGUUUGGGGUGCACGGGGCAGCUGUGUGAUGCUGAGCCGAGACUGGGGACACGGGCUGGGGCCUCCCAGGGCUGCGGUGGUCACCAUGGUGCUCUGGUGUCCACAAUGGAACUGGGAUGAGUCGGCAUGGGGACUGUCAGCGGGGCUCUGUGAUGCAGUGCGCUGCAGGCCAUCGACCAUGGCUAUUCUUCUCGUCCGCCUCCUGUCAGUGCUGGGCCUCCUGCAGCUCACACUCAAGGUUGGGGACCAGCCUGACCAGGCCACCCAAGACCUCAUUGAGGAACGAGAAGUGAUGCUGCAGGAGGAGAUGCAGAUGCUGCUGCAGGAGAUUGAGGAGGGAAGCGAGCCACAUAGUGGGAAAAGCACGGUGUUCCUGUUCCUCGCCAUGUGCCACCACUGGCAGUUCUGGGCACUCUCAGAAGCUUUUCUGGCUCUUUUUGGCAUGUACUGGCUGCCCAAGAACAUCAAAGAUGACACCGAUGGUGAUUCUGAGCCAUGGAGCUCAAGCAGUGAGGAUGGCGAUGGAGGAGAAGAGGAACAAGAAGUUGAGGAGGAGUUGAGGGAGGAAGAGGAGGAACAGGAAGAAAUGAACUUGAAUGACCAACAUGAUCCAGAACUGCUCGUGAGCCUGCUCAGGAAGUCUCUGCUGCCAAAGCUGUUUAUGAUGCAGAGCAUUAUGGAAGAGGUGGCAGGGGAGAACUCUGCAUCAGCGAACUCCAUUCAGAGAACCAUUUUCAUGAGAGAGCUGCAGGCAGAGGUGGAGUUGUUCAUGACAAUGUUUGAGAACAACCUGCCUGUUUCAUCCCUCACUUGCUCCAAUGCCAAAGUUCAUGGUUCUCCUCGUAUCUUCAAGCUUCCACCGAAGAAUACAUUCGAAGAUUAGAUGCAUAGAUUAAUAGGAAUAGUCAAAAUAGUUAAGGCAAAAUAGUUAAGGUUGUUAGUUAGGAGAUGUUUUCCACAUAGAAUAGUCACAUCAAUAGAAAUAGAUUUGUAGUUAAUGCUCUAGUACCAUUAGUUUAAGCAAAAUGAUAAUAAAUUAGAUUGUUUGAACA
rnacentral:lncRNA from 1 species